GGGCUCGGGCGGGCGCUGGUGAUAUGGCGGCGGCGGCGGCGGGCACGGGGAGCGAGGGCGAGAGGAGCGAUGAAGCGGAGGAAGACGAGGUGGAGGAGCAGCUGGUCAUGGUGGAACUAUCAGGAAUUAUUGAUUCAGACUUCUUAGAAAAAUGUGAAAACAAAUGCAAGAUUUUGGUGAGUGAUUACAGCACAAUAGGAAAGGGGGAAUAGAGACAGAGAAGCCCAUUUUACAAGUGGACAGAUAUGUAUUUGCAGGAGAAUAUGAAGAUACCUUGGGAACCUGUGUGGUUUUUGAAGAAAACACAGAGCACGAUGCGGAAGGCAACCAAAAAGUACAGCUGAAAUACAAGUGUCACACAGUGAAGAAGUUGAACAUGACACGGACCCUUCUGACAGAAAAGAAGGAAGGAGAAGAGAAUGUUGGUGGAGUGGAGUGGUUACAGAUCAAGGACAGAGAUUUUUCCUACAGCAGGCCUAAUAUGAUUUGCAGUUUUAUGCGUGAAAAGGAUGAUUCUGAGGAGUCAGGCCAGACCCAAGACAAAUUGACUGAAGAGUCAGAAGGAGAGGUGAGUGGUGAAGGAAACUCUGACAUGAAUUGUGAUCUGGAAAAGCAGCACACCUUGGAAAUAGAUGCUUCUAUUCCUCUGCCUGAUAGCCCUGCUUCUGGGACAGAGGAAUCUCCUUCUGGAAAUACUGCCUUAGAGGAUGUCCCUUCAUGAUAUCAACUCUGAUCUUGUCAUGAUUUUUUCACAGAAUUAACAGGCCAACUUUUACAGGCUAUGACAUGAUUUCCACUUUAUCUGAGCAAUUAAUAAUGGAAAAACAGACAUUGUGUUCUUGUGCAUUGCUUUUGUGUUUGAAAUACAGUGGGAAGGGCUGAAGUGUUUUUAAAAAACUGAUUUGAAAUGUAUGUAUCUCUACCUCAAACUUGAACAAGGGGAAAUGGUUACAUAAUUAAAAGAAACUCAUAACUUAGAAAAAUGUUGAUGUCUGGAACAUUUUGUAAAAAUUAAAAAACAUCACUGUUUAAAAUAAAGUCUUGAAUUUUUCAAA